rnacentral:rRNA from 1 species
AGUGAACGCUGGCGGUAGGCCUACACCUGCCCGUCGAACGGCAGCACAGUAAGAGCUUGCUCUUACGGGUGGCGAGUGGCGGACGGGUGAGGAAUACAUCGGAAUCUACUUUUUCGUGGGGGAUAACGUAGGGAAACUUACGCUAAUACCGCAUACGACCUACGGGUGAAAGCAGGGGAUCUUCGGACCUUGCGCGAUUGAAUGAGCCGAUGUCGGAUUAGCUAGUUGGCGGGGUAAAGGCCCACCAAGGCGACGAUCCGUAGCUGGUCUGAGAGGAUGAUCAGCCACACUGGGACUGAGACACGGUCCAGACUCCUACGGGAGGCAGCAGUGGGGAAUAUUGGACAAUGGGCGCAAGCCUGAUCCAGCCAUACCGCGUGGGUGAAGAAGGCCUUCGGGUUGUAAAGCCCUUUUGUUGGGAAAGAAAAGCAGCAGGUUAAUACCCCGCUGUUCUGACGGUACCCAAAGAAUAAGCACCGGCUAACUUCGUG